rfam:Oryza sativa Japonica Group DNA, chromosome 6, cultivar: Nipponbare, complete sequence.
UUUAAGUACAGCCAUGAGUGUCCAUGUUUAAUUUUAAUCGUCCGUCUUAUUUAAAUUGUUUUUAUAAUUAGUAUUUUUGUUGUUAUGAGAUGAUAAAACAUGAAUAUAGUACUUUUAUUCGUGACUUAUUUUUUAAAUUUUUUCAAAAAAAUUUAAAUAAGAUAGACGAUCAAAAUUAAGAGCAAAAAAUCAUGACUGCACUUAAA